UACGUAGGGUGCAAGCGUUGUCCGGAAUUAUUGGGCGUAAAGAGCUCGUAGGCGGUCUGUCGCGUCGGCUGUGAAAACUCGGGGCUCAACCCCGAGCCUGCAGUCGAUACGGGCAGACUAGAGUGCGGUAGGGGAGACUGGAAUUCCUGGUGUAGCGGUGAAAUGCGCAGAUAUCAGGAGGAACACCGGUGGCGAAGGCGGAUCUCUGGGCCAUUACUGACGCUGAGGAGCGAAAGCGUGGGGAGCGAACAGG
rnacentral:rRNA from 1 species